rnacentral:lncRNA from 1 species
CGGCGCUCGCCGGGCGCCGGGCUCCGGCUGCAGUCCGGCAUUGACCACAGCUGUGGACGCGCGCGCUACCCAAGCUGGGCGCCAGGUGAGCGCCCUCGGGGCGCCGCGCAGCGCACCCGCCCAGGCGCGCUACUACCCGGAGCCUUCCAGGCGAGCGGUGAGUACAGGCACUCGCGGGGCACGUUUCAUCCCAGUUGAGGGGCCCUUGGAGGCAGCGCCUGUCGGAGCCGGGCUGUUCUGGAGGUUGAUGUGCGUGGAAGAGUGAGCCGGGUCCCAGCCUCCGUUUGGUCUUGAGAAGGGCGUGGGGUUAACCCCCGCAGGCGCUGGAUGGCGCGCGGAGCUUUGCUUCCUGGAGACUCAGGCUCGCUUGAGGUUUUCACCUUAGGGGGUCUUUUCUCGCGGGCCCCUGUCGGGGUGCCCUCCCGGGUUCCGGGGGCCCGGGGUUUGGCGGGGUAACCCGGGACGGGCAAGCAAUCAGCUGCGAUCCCCCCACCCCUCUCGCCCGCGGCACCAGCCUGGCGAACCACGUGCGGCUGUCGCCCGCAACUCUUGCCUGUCAAGCGAGGCCCGCCUCCGGGGCAGGGGAGGGGACGCGGGGGCGGGGUGGGCUGUGCCCCGAGGGAAUGCGGCCGGCCCGGGCGCCCUCCGGUACAAGCUCGGCUCUCUCUGCCUCGUGUGCCCACGGGCUCCUGGGAGGAAGCGGGCAGUUCCGCGGGAAGGCGCAGGGCUCUUCCCCGAGGGGCCAGAGGCCGCUCGAGGGGUGCCCGGGCGCUCAGCUCCAGGAGAAAGGUAGCUGCUCAGGGCUUUAGGGGAGCUGCUGCGGAGCCUGGGGCUUGGAGGAGCGGGGCAUGUAUUUUAAGCUGCGCCUCAGAGGGGAGAAUUUUCUGUCAUCACCAGAGAGGCCACAGACCCGGAAUGUGACGACAAUUCACGAGCUCCGUAGAGGCCUGAGAGUCUCUGGCUUGACAGCUUAGAAUAUGCUAAAACACCAGGGCUUCCCAGGAGGCAUUGAAGGGUCAACUUGUCCCCGCGACAGUGACCUGGAGCAAGGAAGUCAGAAGACAGUCGUAGAGAGCAAAAGGGACCUUCCAAGGGGCUGACUUGGACUGCCAAGGGCAGGCUCCUGCCACUCGGUUGUUGCAGCCGUCUGGUGGCAUGCUGGUGAGGUCCUCCACCCAGGGCAGCAAGUGGGUCUGGGCAUGGGGCUGCGUGGCCCGUGAGGACUCCUGCAGGUCUGAUCGGUCCCUAAUCCCUGCCUAGGAACUUGAGGGCUGUCCGAGCCCCCU